UCCGCGGCGCGCCGCUUCGUGGGGCCGCUCGGCGUGCGCCGCGGUCCUCGUCGAGGGCGUCCUGGGCGCCUACCGCCUGCCGCGCGCCGCCCGCCAGCCCCGCGCGGCGGGGGAGCUCUCCGACGCGGUCACAGCAUCGUCGGGAGCAGAGACCGGGAAACUGAGGCCCAGAGAGCCCUCUGCCCAGGCCGGCUUUAAGUUUCCCAAGAAUGUGGAGCAAAGGUUCCCCCAGCAGGCAAGGACUACCGAGUCUGGCCUGCCAAACCGCCACCUCAAGUCCUGGUUCGGUGCCACCUUCCCUGGACAAUGUUCCAAGACCCCAGGCAAAGCUGUUCCGUGCUGUGUCCCCCAGCAUUGAUCGGCCUUCAGAGAGCUGCAAUUCUGGCCUCAUCAGACUGUAGCAGUCUGUGAUGCUCGGGACUGGCUCCAUCCCUCCUGCCAUCAGAACAGUUGGCAAAGAAGUCACACCGGCAGCUGGGGAGGAGGGCUGUACACCGGGAAGCUGACAGCAAUGGCGCGAAUCUUCUGCUCCAGACCCUCCUGAGCACAGAACCUUCCAAGAGGGCAGGUGCCCAGCACUCUCCACAGGCACCGUUCAUGAUUCUGGGCACACUUGACACUGUGACACCGCCACGCCUUCUUUGCCCAGCCAGACAGCCAGUUCACAGUGAGUCCAUCUCUUCUGAAACUCAGUCCCCUAACAGUACCACUUCCCUGCUACCUGAGACAAAUGAGUUUGUCAUGUAAGACAAGCACCAAAAGAUGGCACAGGCUUACCUAGAUAUCAGUCGUUUGUGUGUCAGGGAAAAAGACACCAGGAAUGUCCUCUCUGACCCCUAACUCCAGUCGUUUACAGCAGAAA